rnacentral:misc_RNA from 1 species
AUUUGUGUGAAUGAAUAUUAAUAUAAUUCAAUUUUAUUCGCAUAAUAAUAUUCAAACAUGAGUGUAUAUCGAUAUUGUUGAUUUGAAUUGUGAUUUUGUUCUUUCUAAACUUAAAUAUAAAAUGGAACGUCUUCAAAUAGAAGAAGCAUUUAUUACAUUAAAACCACUUUGUGAUUCUUUAAUGAAGAAUCCAAGUAUAAAAAUUGCUUGUGAAAUUGCUAAUAUUUUACCAAAGAUUUCUGACAAAGUUAUUACGGAUUUAUUUGAAUAUAUUAUAUUUCCCUUUAUUAUACACUUAUCAAAUGAUAAAUUAAGUAAAAGUAUAAAAGAAGAAUUAAUAAAAACAGUACAGAUAAUAAUAUUAAAAGCAAAGAUAUCAAAAGUUAAAUAUUUCAAUGAAUUGUAUUCAUGUCUUUUAAUACAAAUUUAUGAUAAAACACAACCAAGCAUGGUGAUCAAAGAACAUGAAGAAUUUAAAGAAGCAGUACUCUCAUGCAUUAAGAUUUUGAUAAAUUCUUGUUUCACAGAUGUUUUAGAAAUUAUAUAUAUUAAAGAAAAUGCUUCUAAGAUAGGCCAAGGAUUAUUAUUAUCAAUAACAAUAGGAAAAAUUGAAAAAUCAAAUCAUCUUAGAUUAAAAGCUAUUGAAACAGUAAUGACAUUAUGUCAAGUUGAUAAUGAAUCAAAUAAAUGUGAUGCUAUAUUGCAAAAUCAAGUAGCUGAUAUUAUUAUGUUAUUUUUACCUGGUAUUAUCUGUGGUUUACAAGAAAUAGUUAUAGGAAAUGAAACACAAGGACAUAAACUUACAAAAAUGGCAUUAAGAGCUUGGGGCAGAAUAGUAUCACUUGUAAUGAAAGAUAAGGUACAAGAAGAUGAGAUACCAUCAUUAAAUGAUCUGAUAAAAAUGAAUAAUGAAAAGAAUAUUAAUCCAAUAGAAUAUUUUCCAAAUUUGAAAGAUUGCAAUGAAUUAGAAAAACAUCUUAAAAGUACAACAAGAAACAAAGAAUGGUUUAAUGCUUGUGCAACAAAACUUAAUAUACUUAUUCAACAAUUAGAUAUAUUAAAAAGACAUUCUCAUUAUAAAGUUAGAAAAGAAUUAGUAGAAAGUAUUCAUUUAUUGCUCACAUCAUGCCCUAGAAAUAUGAAACCAAAUAUUAUGUUAUUAAUAGAUUAUUUAAUAUCAUUAUCUGAAGAUGAAUUUGCUGUAGUUAGUAAAAAAGCUAAGAAAGCACUAAGCAUAAUUAAUACAAAUUUUAUGCAAAAUAAGAAUAUGAAAUCUUUAAUAGAAUUAUUAGAAGAAAACUUCUAUAAUCUGCUUACAAAGUUACCUAGAAUUAUCAGGAAAUCCGAUGAUAAUGAUCAAUUAGCUUGUUUAAAUCAAAUUGCUGGUUAUUUAAAACUUCUUGGAGAGCAAAGAUUGCCCCAUAUAAUGAUGUCAGCAUCUCAUAUUCAUAGAUUAAUAUUGUCUCUUAUAUAUGUAUCUGAAAUAGAUUGUACUAAUAUCUCUCUUUUGCAAGCAAUAAAUAUUAAAGAUCUUGAUGAUCCAACAUAUUCAUAUGGAUCAAAUUUAUGGAAACGAUUUAAAUUUAUUCAAACUAAUGCAUGUGAACUUAAAUUUAUUACAAUAUGUAAAUAUUUAGGUGAAUUUGGAGAUCUUCGAAUUUUAAUAGAUAACAUUUUUAGCCUCAUGUUCAAUGUUCCACAAUGUAGAAAAGAAUUAAUUUUAUUACUGAAUUGGAUAAUAUAUGUACCUGUUAAAGAUUCAUCAAUUUUACCACUUUAUAAAGAAGUUGUGGAAUUCUACAUAAAUCCUGAAUUUUGGUAUCCAAUUAUUGAAAUUAAUGAUGAUACACCUCUACGAGUUGCACAGAAUAAUGUAAUACAAUGUUGUUUAUUAUUAGAAGGUUUAGGAUUAAUAGCUCAAAAUUUAAAAUAUAAUUAUGAUAGAUUUCUUCUUAAAACAUUGUACCUCGUUAUAGAAAGAGCAGGUAGUGCACAUAGCUUAAUCAGUUUUGUUGGAACCCAAACUCUUGAACAAAUUGCAAAGUCUCAACAAAACAAUACAAUAGGAGAUCUUUUACGUGCAAAUAUUGAUUAUUUGUCAUAUCAUAUUAGUAUAAAAUUACGUAGAGUAGAACGCAAUCCUGAUGUACUUGAUGUUGUUGAAGUUAUCAUGAAAUAUAGUACAAUGGAUGUGUUACCUUGUUUGAAAGAAAUUGUUGAAGAUGUAUUAUUACAAUUAAAUAACAGUUUUCAAAAAAAAAACUCUUAUGCUUUUUUAAAAGUUUUUUAUACAUUUACAAUAUGUAUAAAAAAUUUAGCAAAUUCUAAACAUGAAACAAUAAUACCCGAAUUAAAUAUAGAUAUUAAAAAUGAAUCAUCCAAAAUUAUUCAAUCUUUCUUAGAAUAUUAUGAAGCAAAAAAAGUUGAUGAAGAUAUAGAUAAUAUAGAACAGUCUUGUGAAUUUAAAGAAAUGAAAGAAGAAGAAAAAGAAAAAUUACAAGAAAAUAUAGAAGAAAACGAAUAUGAAACAAAUUUUAUAGAACAAGAAGGCAAGUAUUACCUGCACUUUCGAAAUUUUUGUGCGAUUCGUCUAAAGAAAGCUACAAUAAAAGUUCUGAUAGUAUUUAUAAAUUUACCCAAAUUUAUAAAUUGCAAAGAGAACUACUCUCUACUUUAGGUCAAAUAACAAAAAAUUUAUGUCUUCAUGAGCGAGAAACAUUAAAUGUUUUAAGUAUUGCAGAACCAUAUCUUAAUAAACAUCAAAAUCCUACAUUACAAGCAUAUUGUAUAAAAUUAUAUAAAGAUGUUGCAGAUUAUAAUAGCGAUAUUGUUUGGAUAAAAUGUCUCAGUAUUUUUAAUU